AGUGGGCAUUUCAUGAAAUCUCUUGGUCAUUACAGGCAUCGAAUCGGAGAGAAUGUAUCUGAUGACGGUCUCAACAAAAUCAUGCCCACCGGCUUCCAGCCCAGUUAUCCACGAAUUACUACCACUGUAAAAGUCCUUGGCCGUUUUCUUCUCAACAGUAAACUUUGAACCAUUUUCAAGAGAGCCCGUUCUUGGACAUGCUGAUCUAACAUCAACACUUUUCUGGAAACUCAAUUGUUU